rnacentral:rRNA from 1 species
GCAAGACCAAAGUGGGGGACCUUCGGGCCUCAUGCCAUCAGAUGUGCCCAGAUGGGAUUAGCUAGUAGGUGGGGUAACGGCUCACCUAGGCGACGAUCCCUAGCUGGUCUGAGAGGAUGACCAGCCACACUGGAACUGAGACACGGUCCAGACUCCUACGGGAGGCAGCAGUGGGGAAUAUUGCACAAUGGGCGCAAGCCUGAUGCAGCCAUGCCGCGUGUGUGAAGAAGGCCUUCGGGUUGUAAAGCACUUUCAGCGGGGAGGAAGGCGGUGAGGUUAAUAACCUCAUCGAUUGACGUUACCCGCAGAAGAAGCACCGGCUAACUCCGUGCCAGCAGCCGCGGUAAUACGGAGGGUGCAAGCGUU